AUCAGCUAGUUGGUGAGGUAAUGGCCCACCAAGGCACCGACGGGUAGCCGGACUGAGAGGUCGACCGGCCACAUUGGGACUGAGAUACUGCCCAGACUCCUACGGGAGGCUGCAGGGACGAAUAUUCCGCAAUGGGCGAAAGCCUGACGGAGCGACGCCGCGUGUGGGAAGAAGUCCUUCGGGAUGUAAACCACUGUCAGGGGCUACCAAGUGACCGCGCCUAAUAUGCGCGGAAGUUGAGGGGCCCCGGAGGAAGCCACGGCUAACUUCGUGCCAGCAGCCGCGGUAAGACGAAGGUGGCUAGCGUUGUUCGGAAUCACUGGGCUUAAAGAGCACGUAGGCGGCCCGUCAAGCGCUUUGUGAAAUCCCUCGGCUCAACCGAGGCAUGGCUUGGCGAACUGGCGGGCUUGAGGCAGGUAGAGGUGUGUGGAACUCUUGGUGGAGCGGUGAAAUGCGUAGAUAUCAAGAGGAACGCCGGAGGCGAAAGCGACACGCUGGGCCUGUCCUGACGCUGAGGUGCGAAAGCCAGGGGAGCAAACGGGAUUAGAUACCCCGGUAGUCCUGGCCGU
rnacentral:rRNA from 1 species